rnacentral:lncRNA from 1 species
AAGACCCCGAGCCUCUGGUGGCCGGCGAGCCGUGCGAGCGGGGCUCCCGCAGCCGGUGAGAAGGAAGGGGGCUACUGGGAGAGAUGCGGAAAGGCACCGCGCUCCACCGAGGACAAGGACAGCAGGACACCUGGGGACAGAAAAGGCAUCACUGGGGGCAAGGCUGUUGCUCGCCAAGCACCGGGAGGACCGGCGGGUCUCUGUGACCGAGGACGCGGCUCAUGUCUCAUUAGUUCAAAGGAAGUGGCUGUCCUACUCAACUCUGGGUGUCAUGCUGUUUCUGUUGGAAUUACAUCCAAACUUCAGAUGCUGGUAGACCCUGAGCCUGGCUGCAGGUGGUGGCUGCAUUCCGUGGUGGAAUAAGAUGGAAACAACAUCAACAUUCUCUCUCAGCUCUCCGAAUAAAGCCUCCAGGAAUCAGGUGUUUCA